GAUGAAGAACGCAGCGAAAUGCGAUAAGUAAUGUGAAUUGCAGAAUUCAGUGAAUCAUCGAAUCUUUGAACGCACCUUGCGCCCUUUGGCCAUUCCGAAGGGCAUGCCUGUUUGAGUAUCAUGAACACCUCAACUCUUUAUGGUUUUCCAUGAUGAGCUUGGACUUUGGGGGUUUUGCUGGCCUAUGGUCGGCUCCUCUAAAAUAAAUCAGCUUACCGGUGUUUGGUGGGUAUCAUGGGUGUGAUAACUAUCUACGCUUGUGGUUUUUCCACCAGGUAACCUUCGACAGCGGAGGUUCACUGGAGCUCAUAGAUGUCUCUCCUCAGCGAGGACAGCCCUUUGAAUGUUUGAUCUCAAAUCAGGUAGGACUACCCGCUGAACUUAAGCAUAUCAAUAGGCGGAGGA
rnacentral:misc_RNA from 1 species